GAGCGCAGCGGGGGCCGCGGGCGGCGGCGGCGGCUCAUGCCCGGCCUGUCCCCGCGAGGGGCGGGCACCGUGACUCGGCUGGGCCCCCAGAGGCGGGCGAUGUGAAGAUGUCAGUGGGCUGUGCCUGUCCUGGUUGUUCCUCAAAGUCAUUCAAGCUGUACUCGCCGAAGGAGCCCCCGAACGGCAACGCCUUUCCCCCCUUCCAUCCCGGCACCAUGCUGGAUAGGGAUGUGGGCCCAACUCCCAUGUAUCCGCCUACAUACCUGGAGCCAGGGAUUGGGAGGCACACACCAUAUGGCAACCAAACUGACUACAGAAUAUUUGAGCUUAACAAACGGCUUCAGAACUGGACAGAGGAGUGUGACAAUCUCUGGUGGGAUGCAUUCACGACUGAGUUCUUUGAGGAUGAUGCCAUGUUGACCAUCACUUUCUGCCUGGAGGAUGGACCAAAGAGAUAUACCAUUGGCCGGACCCUGAUCCCACGCUACUUCCGCAGCAUCUUUGAGGGGGGUGCUACGGAGCUGUACUAUGUUCUUAAGCACCCCAAGGAGGCAUUCCACAGCAACUUUGUGUCCCUCGACUGUGACCAGGGCAGCAUGGUGACCCAGCAUGGCAAGCCCAUGUUCACCCAGGUGUGUGUGGAGGGCCGGUUGUACCUGGAGUUCAUGUUUGACGACAUGAUGCGGAUAAAGACGUGGCACUUCAGCAUCCGGCAGCACCGAGAGCUCAUCCCCCGCAGCAUCCUUGCCAUGCAUGCCCAAGACCCCCAGAUGUUGGAUCAGCUCUCCAAAAACAUCACUCGGUGUGGGCUGUCCAAUUCCACUCUCAACUACCUCCGACUCUGUGUGAUACUCGAGCCCAUGCAAGAGCUCAUGUCACGCCACAAGACCUAUAGCCUCAGCCCCCGCGACUGCCUCAAGACCUGCCUUUUCCAGAAGUGGCAGCGCAUGGUAGCACCCCCUGCGGAGCCCACACGUCAGCAGCCCAGCAAACGGCGGAAACGGAAGAUGUCAGGGGGCAGCACCAUGAGCUCUGGUGGUGGCAACACCAACAACAGCAACAGCAAGAAGAAGAGCCCAGCUAGCACCUUCGCCCUCUCCAGCCAGGUACCUAUCUGGCCAGCCUGAAGGACAUUUACCAGCCAACUGCCACCAGCAACUCACCCUGAGAGUGCCAGGACCCAUUUCCAGAGGAAGCCAAACCCUGGAUUACUUCCCUCCUUGCUGCUCCACCUCUAUUCCACCAGCUCACCUCUACAAGAGGAGGACCUAGGGCCAGUCCCUGGAGAAAAGUCCCAAAGGAGCUUGGGGGAGAAAAAUCUUCUCUCCAUCACCCCCAACAACUGAGGCUGCCUGGAGGAUGAGGUAGGCUAAUUUCUCUCCCUUUCCUUUAACGGAUUUCAGAUGCACAGAACUAGAUUAAUCAUAACCUUGGUUCAUGACACACUCUCAUCAUUGUUCCAUGCACAGCACACAUUUACUUAUAAGGCUAUCAUAUGGGGCCAGGUGCGGUGGCUUACGCCUGUAAUCCCAACAUUUUGGGAAGCCAAGGCAGGUGAAUCACCUGAGGUCAGGAGUUCAAGACCCGCCUGGCCAACAUGGUGAAACCCUGUCUCUAUGAAAAAUACAAAAAAAAUUUAGCUGGGCAUGGUGGUGCAUGCCUGUUAAUUCCAGUUACUUGGGAGGCUGAGGCAGGAGAAUCACUUGAGUCCGAGAGGUGGAGGUUACUGUGAGCGGAGAUUGCACCAUUGCACUCCAGCCUGGGCGACAGAGCGAGACUCCAUUUCAAAAAAAGACUAUAAGAAAUAAUCAACAUGGGCCGGGCACGGUGGCUCAUGCCUGUAAUCCCAGCACUUUGGGAGACCAAGGCGGGCGGAUCACAAGGUCAGGAGCUUGAGACCAUCCUGGCUGACAUGGUGAAACCCCAUCUCUACUAAAAAUACAAAAAAUUAGCCAGGUAUGGUGGCGGGUGCCUGUAGUCCCAGCUACUCGGGAGGCUGAGGCAGGAGAAUGGCGUGAAUCCAGGAGGCGGUGCUUGCAGUCAGCCGAGAUUGCGCCACUGCACUCCAGCCUAGGCGACAGAGCAAGACUCCAUCUCAAAAAAAAAAAAAAAGAAAAAAAAAGAAAUAAUCAGCAUGAAAGCUAGGACCUUGGCAAUAACUUGGCAAUAAAUCUAGCUAUGUGUUCCAUCUCUCAAGAUAUCCAUCAUUCUCUUGUUUUCCUUAUAUACACACACAUAUAUAUUUUAUAAGACAGAGUUUCACUAUGUUGCUCAGAAUGUAGUGCUGUAGCUAUUCACAGACCCAAUCAUAGUGCACUGCAACCUCAAACUCCUAGACUCAAGCAAUCGUCCUGCUUCAGCCUCCCAAGUAGCUGGGACUACAUGCAUAGCUGGGACUGUAGGUGGCACCACUACACCUGGCUCCUUUUCCAUACUUACCAGCUGUAUGUAUUCCUGAAAAUUUAUAAGAAUUUUUAGCUGGGAGCGGUGGCUCACACCUGUAAUCCCAGCACUUUGGAAGGUCGAGGCGGGUGGAUCACCUGAGGUCAGGAGUUCAAGACCAGCUUGACCAACAUGGUGAAACCCUGUCUCUACUAAAAAUACAAAAAUUGGCCGGGCGUGGUGGCUCACGCCUAUAAUCCCAGCACUUUGGGAGGCCGAGGCGGGCGGAUCACGAGGUCAGGAGAUUGAGACCAUCCUGGCUAAUGCGGUGAAACCGCGUCUCCACUAAAAAUACAAAAAAUUAGCUGGGUGUGGUGGUGGGCACCUGUAGUCCCAGCUACUUGGGAGGCUGAGGCAGGAGAAUGGCAGGUGAACCCAGGAGGUGGAGCUUGCAGUGAGCCGAGAUGGCACCACUGCACUCCAGCGUGGGCGACAGAGCGAGACUCCGUCUCAAAAAAAAAAAAAAAAAAAUUAGCUGGGCAUGGUGGCAGGCACAUGUAAUCCCAGCUACUUGGGAUUACUCCAUCUCAGAAAAAAAAAAUUUUUUUUAAGUUUAGUUAUUUUUUACAUUAUUAUAAGGGAGUAUUGCUGUAUGUAAUUUUUGGUGGCUUAUUAUAUUGUAUUAACAAGAUUUAUAUUGUUACAUAUUGCUUACAGUUUACUCAUUUUGGGAACUAUAUAAUAUUCCAUUUUGUGACUCUACCCAGUUAUUCAUUCUCCUGUCACUGGACAUUUGGGUUGUUUCUAGGUUUUGGCUAUUGUGAAGAGUAUUUCCAUAAUUUUACUUCCAUCUCCUACUGUAAAUGUGCAGUUUUUCCUGGUUAUAUGUUUAGUAGUAGUCUCUGCAAACUCAUGUUCCCACCUCUGAAGCCUAAGCUUGAGUGCUUUUACUAUGGAAGUUCUAGGGUUAACUCAAAUUAAAAUUUUAACAUUUAUUGAGUCCCUGCUAUAUAAACUCUACUCGGCUCAUUCAUCCAUUCGGUCAACCAAGCUAAAUUUAGUGAGCAUGUACAAAAUGCCUGGAACUGGAGACAGAACAGUGAAUAAGACAAUAUGGCAUAUUACACAAUUGGGUGGAGAAAUAGAUAUUACAACAAAUGGGGGCAGGCACAGUGGCUCACGUCUGUUAUCCCAGCACUUUGGGAGGCCGAGGUGGGUGGAUCACUUGAGGUCAGGAGUUUGAGACCAGCCUGGCUAAUAUGGUGAAACACUAUCUCUAUGAAAAAUAAAAAAUUAGCCGGGUGUGGUGGCACACACCUAAUCCCAGCUACUCUGGAGGUUGAGGCAUGAGAAUCACUUGAACCUGGGAGGCAGAGUUUGCAGUGAGCAGUGAUCACGCCACUGCACUUCAGCCUGGGCAACAGAGCAAGACUCCGUCUCAAAAAUAAAAAAAUAAAAUAAACAAAUGGCCACAUACAUACACAUACGCAGUGACAAUUUUUUUUUUUUUUUUUGAGACAGGCUCUCACUCUGUUGCCCAGGCUGUAGUGCAGUAGUGCAAUCAUGGUUUGUGGCAGACUUAACCUCCCGGGCUCAAUCAAUUCUCCUAUCUCAGCCUCCAGAGUAGCUGGGACCACAGGCAUGCACCACCAUGCCUGGCUAAUAUUUGUAUGCUUUUACAGAGACAGGGUUUUGCCAUGUUGCCCAGGUUGGUCUCAAACUCCUGGGCUCAAGCCAUCCUCCCUCCUCGGCUUCUCAAAGUGCUGGGAUUACAGGGGAGAGCCACUGUACCCAGCUGACAAUUUAUGAUAUAACCAAAUAGUGUAGGAUAAACAUAUAACAGGGAGACCUUAUUUAAUCUGGUGUGUUAAGGAAAGCCUCUCUGAGGGAAUAUUUCAGCGGAGACUUGAAGGAUGAGGAAGACUUAGUCAAGUAAAGAGUAUGGGGAAUAGGAUUUCAGGUAUAGGAAACACACUCUGAUGCUGGGGAGUGCUUGCUGGGUUAGAUUAGAAGAAGGCCAGCUGCAGUGGCUCACACCUGUAAUCCCAGCACUUUGGGAGACUGAGGUGGGUGGAUCACUUGGGGUCAGGAGUUCAAGACCAGCCUGGUCAACAUGGUGAAACCCUGUCUCUACUAAAAAUACCAAAAAAAAAUUAGCCAGGUGUGGUGUGCAUGCCUGUAGUCCCAGCUGCUCAGGAGGCUGAGGCACAAGAAUUGCUUGAACCUGGGAGGCAGAGGUUGCAGUGAGCGAGGAUCAUGGCACUACACUCCAGCCUGGGCGACUAAGUGGGACUCCAUCUCAAAAAAAAAAAAAGAGCCUGGGCGAGGUGGCUCAUGCCUGUAAUCCCAGCACUUUGGGAGGCCGAGGCGGGCAGAUCACCUGAGGUCAGGAGUUCAAGACCAGCCCAGCCAACAUAGCGAAACCCCAUCUCUACUAAAAAAUACAAAAAUUAGCUGUGCGUGGUGGCGGCCGCCUGUAGUCCCAGCUACUCGGGAGGCUGAGGCAGGAGAAUCGCUUGAACCCAGGAGGUGGAAGUUGCAGUGAGCUGAGAUCAUGCCACUGCAUGGUGAAAGAGCGAGACUCCAUCUCAAAGAAAAAAAAAAAAAAGGCAGGGCACAGUGGCUCAUGCCUGUAAUCCCAACACUUUGGGAGGCCGAGGCGGGCGGAUCACGAGCUCAGGAGAUCAAGACCAUCCUGGCUAACACAGUGAAACCCCGUCUCUACUAAAAACACAAAAAAUUAGCUGGGCAUGGUGGCGGGCGCCUGUAGUCCCAGCUACUCUGGAGGCUGAGGCAGGAGAAUGGCGUGAACCUGGGAGGCGGAGCUUGCAGUGAGCCAACAUUAUGCCACUGCACUCCAGUCUGGGCGACAGAGUGAGACUCCGUCUCAAAAAAAAAAAAAAAGAUUAGAAGAAAACCAGUGGGUUCUGAACAAGGGCAAAUGGUAGCAGGAGGGAGAAGCUGGAGCCAGACUGGACAAGGCUGCCGUGUUGAUGAUUAUUAUAAUGAUAGCGUUUAACAUUCAUUCUGCACCAGCUACUGUGAGAAACCCUUUAAGUCAAUUUUCUCAUUAAAAACUGACCAGCCAAGCGAGGUGGCUCACGCCUGUAAUCCCAGCACUUUGGGAGUCCAAGGCGGGCAGAUCACAAGGUCAGGAGUUCGAGACCAGUUUGGCCAACAUGGUGAAACCCUGUCUCUACUAAAAAAAUACAAAAAUUAGCUGGGCAUGGUGGCAUGUGCCUGUAAUCCCAGCUACUCGGGAGGCUGAGGCAGGAGAAUUGCUUGAAAGUGGGAGGUGGAGGUUGCAGUGAGCCGAGAUCGCACCACUGCACUCCAGCCUGGGCAACACAGCAAGACUCUAUCUCAAAAAACAAAACAAAACAAACAAAAAAAAACUGACCACAUUGGCCAGGCGCGGUGGCGCACGCCUGUAAUCCCAGCACUUUGGGAGGCUGAGGCAGGCAGAUCACCAGGUCAGGAGUUCAAGACCAGCCUGGCCAACAUAGUGAAACCCUGUCUCUACUAAAAAUACAAAAAUAAGCCGGGCGUGGUGGCGGGCGCCUGUAGUCCCAGCUACUUGGGAGGCUGAGGCAGGAGAAUCGCUUGAACCCGGGAGGCAGAGGUUGCAGUGAGCGGAGAUCGUGCCACUGCACUCCAGCCUGGGCAACACAGCAAGACUCUGUCUCAAAACAACAACAACAAACAAAAAAAAACCUGACCAUACUGUAUGAUGUAGGUACUGGGGGAAUUGGUUCCAGAAUGGAUAUCAAAACCCACGGAUGCUUAAGUCCCUUAUAUAAGAUGGUAUAGUCUUUGCAUAUGACCUAUGCAUAUCCUCCCAUAUACUUUAAAUCAUCUCAAGAUUACUUAUAAUACUUAAUACAAUGUAAAUGCUAUAUAAAUAAUUGUUAUAUUGUUUAGAGAAUAAUGACAAGGAAAAAUCUCUGUACAUGUUCAGUGCAGAUGCAACCAUCCUUUUAGGGGGAAUUUUUUUUUCUUAUCUUUUUCUAUAAUGAUGUUGACAUCAUAUUUUUGGAAUAUUUUCCAUCCGUGGUCAGUUGAAUCCACAAAUGCAGAACCUGAACAUAUAUAUGGAGGACCAAUUAGCUCCCAUUUUAUUUAUCUUUAUUUUUAUUUAUUUUUUAUUAUUUUAUUUAUUUAUUUAUUUAUUUAUUUAUUUAUUUAUUUAUUUAUUUUGAUUCAGAGUCUCACUCUGUUGCCCAGGCUGGGCUGCAGUGGCGCGAUCUUGGCUCACUGUAAGCUCCACCUCCCAGGUUCACGCCAUUCUCCUGCCUCAGCCUCCCGAGUAGCUGGGACUACAAGCGCCCACCACCACACCCGGCUAAUUUUUCUUUGUAUUUUUAGUAGAGACGGGGUUUCACCGUGUUAGCCAGGAUGGUCUCAAUCUCCUGACCUCAUGAUCCGCUUGCCUCGGCCUCCCAAAGUGCUGGGAUUACAGGCGUGAGCCACCGCACCUGGCCACUAGCCUGGCCUAUUUUUUAUUUUUAUUUAUAUAUUUUGUGAGACAGGGUCUCACUGUCACCCAGGCUGGAGUGCAAUGAUGCUAUCAUAUCUCAUCUCAGCCAUGAACUCCUGGGUUCAAAGGAUUCCACGCCUCAGCCUUUCAAAUAGCUAGGACUAAAGGCAUGCACUACUAUGCCCAGCUGUCUCCCAUUUUAUUUACCUAGGAGGAAACUAAGGAACAGAGAGGUCAAGCAGCUUGCCCAAGGUCACAGAGCCAGCAAGGAUUUUGAAUUUCAUCCAAAUGUAAUGGGUUGUCACCAAAGGAUCUAAUGCAGGUCAUGUUUAAGAGCUGGUCCCUGCCUUCCAGAAAAGAGAGAAAGGGCCGGGUGUGGUGGCUCACACCUGUACUCCCAGCACUUUCGGAGGCCGAGGCGGGUGGAUCACCUGAGGUCAGGAGUUCAAGACCAGCCUGGCCAAUGAAGUUUAGACUUAAUUUUAUAGAGAGUGGAAAACCACCAAAAGUUUUUCAACAGAGAAGUGACCUACUCAGAUCUGUUAUUUUUUUUAUUUUUUUAUUUUUUUUAAAUAAGGUUAGUUUGAUGUGGUGUGUAGAACUGGAGAGGGGAAACUAAUUAGGAGGCUAUGAGGUCCAUGCUGCUAGUAAUGUAGAAAACCCAAACCAAACCACACAAAAAGAUCCUAACUUAUAAAAUAAAACAAAUACAAGAUUAAAGAAUUAGUCCGGGUGUGGUGGCUCACGCCUGUAAUCCCAGCACUUUGGGAGGCCGAGGUGGGUGGAUCACCUGAGGUCAGCAGUUCAAAACCUGAGGUCAGGAGUUCAAGCCUGGCCAACAUGGUGAAACCCUGUCUCUACUAAAAAUACAAAAAAAAAACUAGCCAGGUGUGGUAGCAGGUACCUGUAAUCCCAGCUACGGGAGGCUGAGGCAGGAGAAUUGCUUGACCUGGGAGGCUGAGGUUGUAGUAAGCUGAGAUAGUGCCACUGCACUCCAGCCUGGGUGACAGAGAAGACUCCAUCAAAAAAGAAAAAAAAAAAAAGAAAAACAAGAUUAAAGAAUUAAAUGUAAGUAAAUAAAGUUAGAAGAAAAUGAGAUUAAAUAGUAUUCAUCAGCCUUGUAGGAAUAUGUGUGUGGGUGAUAAACUUGCAAGCUUAAAUACUAUAGAAGAAAUCAAAAGAGAGUAAAUUUUAUCCCAAUUAAAAAAAAAAAAAGGAAAGAAUUUUGUAUCUUUAGUAGAGAUGGGGUUUCACUGUGUUAGCCAGGAUGGUCUCGAUCUGCUGACCUCGUGAUCCGCCUGUCUCAGCCUCCCAAAGUGCUGGGAUUACAGGCGUCAGCCACCGUGCCCGGCCCUAUAGUUAUCCUUUCAUCAAUUGAUGGACAUUUGUGUUACUUCCACUUUUUUGCUGUUAUGAAAUAGGCUGCUAGGUCAGGUGCAGUGGCUAGUGCCUGUAAUGCCAGCACUUUGGAAGGCUGAGACAGGCAGAUUACUUGAGACCAAGGAGAUGGAGGUUGCGGUGAGCCGAGAUCACACCAUUGCACUCGAGCCUGGGCAACAAGAGUGAAACUCCAUCUCAAAAAAAAAAAAAAAAAAAUCAUACAAAGUGGCUUCAAUUCUGUUAAAACUUGUGUGAUAGGAAAAGGUGGAUGGGUGGUAAUAAGAAGAUUGGUGGUAACAAGAAGAUUGGGCUCUAGGCUGGGCGCGGUGGCUCACACCUGUAAUCCCAGCACUUUCGGAGGCCAAGGUGGGCGGAUCAUGAGGUCAAGAGAUCGAGACCAUCCUGGCCAACAUGGUGAAACCCCGUCUCUACUAAAAACACAAAAAUUAGCUGGACGUGGUGGUGCCUGCCUAUAGUCCCAGCUACUCCGGAGGCUGAGGCAGGGGAAUCGCUUGAAUCCGGGAGGCGGAGGUUGCAGUGAGCUGAGAUGGCGCCACUGUACUCCAGCCUGGCAACAGAGCGAGACUCCAUCUCAAAAAAAAAGAGGAUUGGGCUCUAGUUGGAUUUUUGCCUAUUUGUCAAGCUUCCUUUAAUGCACUCAUGCUACCUUUUUAAAUAUCAUAUUUGUCUGGGUGAAGUGGCUCACGCCUGUAAUCCCAGAAUUUGGAAGGUGGAGGUGGGCAGAUCACUUGAGGCUAGGAGUUGGAGACCAGCCUGGCCAACAUGGUGAAACCCCAUCCCUACUAAAAAAAAAUUAAAUUAGCCUGGUGUGGUGGCACGCACCUGUAAUCCCAGCUAUUCAGGAGGCUGAGGCAAGAGAAUGGCUUAAACCCAGGAGGUGGAGGUUGCAGUGAGCUGAGAUUGUACCACUGCACUCCAGCCUGGCCGACAGAGUGAGACUCCAUCUCAAUAAAUAAAUAAAUACAAUAAAUAUCAUUUUUCCUUUUACUUUUUUUUUUCUUCGUCAGGGUCUUUUUCUGUCACCCAGGCUGGAGUGUAGUGGCACAAUCACAGUUCACUGCAGCCUUGACCUCCCAGGCUCAAUCAGUCCUCCAGCCUCGGCCUCCCUAGCAGCUGGAACUACAGGUGUAAGCCACCACACUUGGCUAAUAUAUGUAAAAUAGAGAUGGGAUCUCAUUAUGUUGCCCAAGCUGGCCUUGAACUCCUGGGCUGAAGCGAUCCUCCUGCCUUGGCCUCCCAAAGUGCUGGGAUUACAGGCAUGAGCCACCGCUCCUGGCCCAGGCCAUCUUUAUAGUAACAAAUAAUAACCAUAAAAGACCAAGAAUCCUGAUCGGGCCAGGCGCAGUGGCUCAUGCCUGUAAUCCCAGCACUUUAAGAGGCUGAAGUGCGUGGAUCACUUGAGGUCAGGAGUUCGAGACCAGCCUGGCCAACAAGGUGAAACCUCGCCUCUACUAAAAAUACAAAAAUUAGCUGGGCGUGGUGGCAUGAACCUGUAAUCCCAGCUACUCAGAAGGCUGAGGUAGGAGAAUCACUUGAACCUAGGAGGCAGAGGUUGCAGUGAGCCGAGAUAGGGCCACUGCACUCCUGCCUGGCGACAGAGCAAGACUCCAACUCCAUCUCAAAAAAAAAAGAAUCCUGAUAGGAAGUAAAAAAAGACCUGAAUUAGGGCAUUUGUGUUGGGCCUGGGGAAGAAAGGAGAGGAAUGGAUACAAUUCUAUUCCUUACUGAGUCAUAGGUGGUGAGUGGUGGGAAGGAUGGAUGGCAAUGCUGAUGUUUGAAGGAACUGGAAGGAUGCCAGUGCCAUGAACUCAAAUGGGGAUCCCCAGAGGAAUCACAGCACUGUGGUUCAGAGGACAGGCUCCUGCAAUAGACACCCCUAUUUUGAAUCCUUGCCCAACCGGGAUUAUAGACGGCUAACCCUGAGCAAGUUAUUUAACCUCUUUGACCUUACUUCCUUCUGUCUAAAGUGGAGAUAAUAAUAGCAUUUGUUUUAGAGGGUUGUUAGGAGGAUGAACUGAUAUAGAGAAUUUAGAAAGUGUCUGGCACAGAAUAAACUUUCGAUAAAAAUUAGGUAUUGUGAUACGCCCAGCAGCCCUGGGAGAUCUGGGGCUAGGACUUCUCUGUCCCCAGCCACCUAUCAGACAAAAAAUAGUUCCUCUACCUUUCCUGGGUCAGCCAGUUCACUGCCAGGAGGUGACCCCAGGGGAUGCUCUAAAACCCACAGGAGUGAGAGUAGAUGGAAGCCUGAAGUGGGACAGGUGGGAGGACUGGAGGCAGGAAGAAUCAGGAAUGGGAUGGAGUUAUGAUUUAGGAAAUUGCAAGUUAGGUAGGCCAGGCUAGCAGUAAAGCAGAGAUGCCCUGAAGCACCCCAUUGAAGCCCUCCUAUUCCAUGUCAGUAUACCAAGAUACAACCUGGCAUGAAGAUGGGGUGCAGGAGGGGCUGUCCUUUGCCUAAUAGGUGCUGGCUAAUUGGGUACAUUCUUCCUCCUCCUCCACCUGGACCUAGACUUACUGAGAGAAUAAACCACAAGGAGAGGACUGGGUGCAGUGGCUCAUGCCUGUAAUCCCAGCACUUUGGGAGGCUGAGGCGGGAGGAUCACUUGAGCCCAGGAGUUUGAGACCAGGCUAGGCAAUAUGGCGAGGCCUCAUCUCCACUUAAAAAAAUUAAUAAUAAUAACGAAUGUGGUAAAUGACUAGGUCAUCAUCUCUUCUAUCAUUCAUUCCCAAAUCUUCCAACAUGGUUUUGAUAGUCACGGAUUGUUUGGCAAUUUCCACCUCAACUUCAAAUAUCUCUCCAUCAGAACUCUGCACCUUAAUUGAAGGCACGCUGUUUGGUCCCAAGGAGACUGGCCAGCUUGAGGUGGCAUCAACACAGAAGACAAAGGCAGAGGACAAGGCUACUUGAAGGCCAGUUUUUCUAACUCUAUUUUACACAGGAGGAAAUGGAGGCUCAGAGGUUAAACGACUGAGAAAAUGUCACAAAAUAAAGCAGAAUUAUAAUGUACAAAGAGAUUAGGUUCUAAUGUCAAUACAUAGGUCAAAAAUGGAAUAUUUUCAAAACAAACCAUGGCAAUUUCUUAAAUCAUCCAUAAAAUAAAGUAGAGCUGGCCUCUCAAUAAAUCCAACUCAGUCUGGUUUUUGUCCAUCAUUGGAACAAAUUGCUCGUUUCAGUGGUUGAGCACCAGAUUUGAAGUUGGCUUGCAUUAAGGGUCCAUGUUAUGUAAAAAAUGCUCGAAUCACUAAACUCACACUUAGUGUCUCUGAGAUGCUGUCUCCCUUCUUACCCUGCCAGCUGUUUACAACGAAAUUGCCCUUUACUGAAUGCACAUAGCUAUCCUGGCCCUGAGUUAAAUGUGCCAGUGAUGUGACUCCAUUGUGGUUAAAGUGAGAUUUAAACCUAAAAGCUGUGCCUCCCUCCCAAGCAUUUAUUUUUCUAGCUAGAGGGUCCUGAAUAUGUCAGUGUGGGCUUCAAACUGCUCUUUACUGAGCCUGCUUUGGGUUGCUCCCCACGACCCCUACCCCAUCCACUCCCUGAAACCAUCCUCAUGGAGCCAGUCUUGUUGAGGCCCUUCUUGACUGCUUACUCCAACUCAGCUUGAACAAGCAUCCCAGCGUGAACUUUUUUUUUUUUUUGUGACAGAGUCUCACUCUGUCGCCCAGGCUGGAGUGCAAUGGUGCAAUCUAGGCUCACUGCAACCUCCACUUCCCAGGUUCAAGCUAUUCUCCUGCCUCAGCCUCCCUAGUAGCUGGGACUACAGGCACCUGUCACCACACCCGGCUAAUUUUUUUGUAUUUUUAGUAGAGACAGGGUUUCACCAUGUUGGCCAGGCUGGUCUGGAACUCCUGAUCUCAAGUGAUCUGCCCGCCUUGGCCUCUAAAGUGCCGGGAUUACAGGCAUGAGCCACCGUGCCCGGCCCAGCAUGAACUUUUGAGGCCCAUGGAGGACAAUCCCAUCUGUUGAUCCUCGGUGAGGGCUAAAGUCUGGGGGAGACAGGAUAAAGAUGAACCAUCAGAGAGCACCACCCUUUCCGGUCCCACUGAAGACUAGUUCCACCUCACCCAGCAGGUUGGAUUGGAUUUUUCUGAUGGGCUUCCAUCCAAAGAUAGUGUUUGUAUACUAGGAGUAAGGGAAAGUUUGAAAGGAGAGGUUUUCUGCCCAGAAAUAAUCCCCUAGGGAGAAGGGAUAGAGAAAUGAGAUUGGGUGGGCUGGGGUCUGGUUCCUGGGACUGUGAAGCCUAGAAUCUGACACUCCUGCGGGUGUGAACCCAGGCGCUCUGGGAGACCGGGAUUCUGGAAUGGGGGUAUGAGUAGAGCUGAGCUGGGGGAAAAGAGGGAAAUUCCCAGGGGUGGAGGAAGAGUCAAGUCCCCCUCUACACCUAGAGGAUGAACUUAAGGAAGGAGUGAAGGUCAUAUGUGUUGUUCCUGAGGAAAAGGCCGCUGUAGAAAAUGGCCUCAUACAGCUCCCCAUUGCUUAUGAAGCAGCAGAUGUUCCAGUCUAUGGGGAAAUAAGGCAGGAGGGAGGGGCUUAGGGAACUCAAGGCUGGGUCAGAAUGGGGAGAAGAGUCAGGAGAGGAAAAUGGGGUAAGGGACAAGUGAAGGGUGGGAAGUUAGGAGAGGAUGAUGGAGGUGAAGGAGUCAAGGAUGGGAGAGAGGAAAAUGGAAGAGGGAUCGGGGCAGAUGAGAGAGGAGGCAGAGUAUGGGCAGGAUUGGAUUUGGGGAGUACUGGGUAAUGAAAGGGAAUGGUUCUCAGAGGAAUGGGGCAAGGAUAGCCCAGGCGGGGAACAAGACUCACAAGGUAUGGAGGGGUUACAGGUUAGGAUCUUCCUGAGGAGACCAGAGGUGGCUCUUGGCCUGAGGGAUCAGUUUUUAGAGAGGAGAGGUGGGCUCUGGGUAGGGGAAGGCUAACGUAUAGCAGGAGCCCAGUCAUGACCAGCAGGAAGCCAGCAAGAAGCAAGCAGGCAGGUGGUGCUGGGAAAUGGGCUGAGGGAACACACAGCCCCUGCAGAACCUGCACAGGUAGCAGCCAGACAGCUGAGGCUGGACAGGAAGAGCAGCAGAGCAAAGGCUGGCCACAGUACCUCACGUCUAUAAUUUCAGCAUUUUGAAAGGUGAGGCAGGAGGAUCUCUUGAGCCCAGGAAUUCAAGACAGCCUGGGCAACAUAGUGAGACCUCAUCUCUACAAAAAAUAAAUAAAUAAAUACAUUGUUUUAAUAAGCAGGGCAAGGGAUGGGCACAGUGGCUCACGCCUGUAAUCCCAGCACUUUGGGAGGCCGAGGCAGGCGGAUCACCAGAGGUCAGGAGUUCGAGACCAGCCUGGCCAACAUGGUGAAACCCCAUCUCUACUAAAAAUACAAAAAUUAGCCGGGCGUGGUGGCAUGCGCCUGUAAUCCCAGCUACCCAGGAGGCUGAGGCAGGAGAAUUGCUGGAACCCGGGACGCGGAGGCUGCAGUGAGCCGAAAUCAUGCCACUGCACUCCAGCCUGCGAGACAGAGCAAGACUCCAUCUCAAUAAAUAAAUAAAUAAAUAAAUAAAUAAAUAAAUAAAUAAAUAAGCAGAGCACAGUGGUGCAUGCCUGUAGUCCCAGCUACUCUAGAGGCUGAGGUGGGAGGAUCGCUUGAGCCCAGGAGGUCAAGGCUGCAGUGAGCCUUGAUCACACCCUGCACUCCAGCUUGGGCAACAGAAUGAUACUUGUCUCAAAAAAAAAAAAAAAAGAAAGGCCGGCACGGUGGCUCACGCCUGUAAUCCCAGCACUCUGGGAGGCUGAGGGGGGCAGAUCACGAGGUCAGGAAAUCGAGACCCUACUGGCUAACACGGUGAAACUCCGUCUCUACCAAAAAUACAAAAAAAAGAAAUUAGCCGGGCGUGGUGGUGGGCGCCUGUAGUCCCAGCUACUCGGGAGGCUGAAGCAGGAGAAUGGCGUGAACCCGGGAGGCGGAGCUGCAGUGAGCCAAGAUCGCGCCACUGCACUCCACCCUGGGCAACAGAGCGAGACUCCGUCUCAAAAAAAAAAAAAAAAAAAAAAAAAAAGAGCACUGGCCGGGCACGGUGGCUCACGCCUGUAAUCCCAGCACUUUGGGAGGCCUAGGUGGGCUGAUCACGAGGUCAGGAGAUCGAGACCAUCCUGGCCAACAUGGUGAAACCCCGUCUCUACUAAAAAUACAAAAAAAAAUUAGCUGGGCAUGGUGGUGGCGCCUGUAGUCCCAGCUACUUGGGAGGCUGAGGCAGGAGAAUGGCGUGAACCGGAAAGGUGGAGCUUGCAGUGAGCCGAGAUCACACCACUGCACUCCAGCCUGGACGACACAGCGAGACUCCGUCUCAAAAAAAAAAAUAAAAAAUUAAAAAAUAAAAAAAGAGCACCAAAGGAACAAUGAAGGCGAGCACCAAAGGAACAAUGAAGGCAAACACCAGGCACAUCAGCACAUCAGGUAGCCAGCCUUAUCUUUCAAGACCUGGGAGCGGCGCAGUGGGGAAUGUUGUCUUGGGCUUCAGUUAGACAUCUGGGUAACUGCUCAUAUGUCCUCCUUCCUGGGUGUGCAGGGUAGGGAGGGGAAGUGGCAGCCGUGGCCUCUAGAAGCCGGACCUGCAAACAGAGCUCUCCUUAUCUUCUUGUAGAUGUUCUACCUGUUCUCCUUGUUUUGUUUUUGGUUGCAGGGGUGGGGUGGCAUUAUGUUGCCCAAGCUGGUCUUGAACUACUGUCCUCAAAGGAUUUUCCUGUCUUGGCCUCCCAAAGUGCUGGGAUUACAGGAGUGAGCCACCACACCCAGCCUCACUUUGUUUUUUUUUUGUUAUUGUUUUUGAAACAGGGUCUCACUCCAUCACCAGGCUGGAGUCCAGCGGCACGUUCACAGCUCACUGCAGCCUGGACCUCCUGAGCUCAAGUGAUCCUCCUACCUCAGCCUCCCAAGUAGCUGGGUCUACAGGCGUGUGCCACCAUACCUGGCUAAUUUUUGUAUUUUUUUGUAGAGACGGAGUUUUGUCAUGUUGCCCAGGCUGGUCCCCAAUUCCUAGGCUCAAGAGAUCCUCCCUCCUCAACCUACCAAAGUGCUGGGAUUACAGGCAUGAGCGAUUGCGCUGGCCCUCUGCACAUGACAAGGACGGCCCUCCUCCUUCUGAGGAUAAUAAGAAUAAAGAAAAGCGAACAGAUGAUAUCUCUGUUUGGGACCAGGAAUUCCUGAAAGUUGACCAAGGAACACUUUUUGAAUUUAUUCUGGCUGCAAACUCCUGAGACAUCAAAGGUUUGCUUGGUAUUACAUGCAAGACCAUUGCCAAUACUAUCAAGGGGAAAGCUCCUGAGGAGAUUUGCAAGAAUUUCAACAUCAAAAAUGACAUUACUGAAAAGCAGGAAGCCCAGGCACACAAAGAGAACCAGUGAUGUGAAGAGAAGUCAGAUGUUGCGCCUGACUCUGUAGCACUGUAAGGAUUGUUUCAAAUACGAGUUGCACUGCUGUUUAUAAUCAUGAAUAUUAGACAAACAGUAGACAAAUGCAACUGCAAAUCAAUUAUACCAGCAGAAUAUUGUGCUCAUUGCAUGCAUCGUUUGAAUACAGAUUCCAAACCUAUGGCUGAGUUUCUUCCAGUGUGAUAGAAAGUUCCUGUCUUCUUUGCUAUACAUAAAACUGAAAUGUGGGUUCUCUAAAGAAAGUGGCAUUUUGGGCUUUCCCCCUUUUUUAUAAAGUGAUGCCUGCCUAGUUUAUUGUCCAGUUAACUUUAGUCACCUUUUUAAAAGUUGGCAUUGUAGGCCGGGCGUGGUGGCUCACGCCUGUAAUCCCAGCACUUUGGGAGGCCAAGGCCGGCUUAUCACCUGAGCUCAGGAGUUUGAGACCAGGUGGGCUAACAUGGUAAAACACCGUUUCUACUAAAAAUACAAAAAAUUAGCCAGGCGUGGUGGCAUGCACCUGUAAUCCCAGCUACACGGGAGGCUGAGGCAGGAGAAUUGCUUGAACCUGGGAGGUGGAGGUUGCAGUGAGCCAAGAUCACGCCAUUGUACUCCAGCUUGGGCAACAAGAGCGAAACUCCAUCUCAAAAAAAAAAAAAAAAGAAAAAAGUUGGCAUUGUAAGUAAAACAACUUGCAAAACAUUUUCUGAAAUAUAAUUUAAAACAAUUAUCUUUUUUUUUUUUUUUUUUUUU